CCAACGGAAUGAGGAGAAGGGCUUCCACAGGACUUCAAAAGACAAAUUAGAAAGGGCCUACAAGUAUAUACCUAGACCUGGUCUUCUGGUGCACGGACUCUGGGAGAAAACCGCACGAGAAGUCUGGCUACCGUGAGACCCCAGUGCUCUGAGGAAACCUAAGCUAACGACGGGUGAAGGUUGCUGGGGAGAGAGAGAUGGCCCAGCAGCCCCCACCAGGAGCUCCAGCUGGAGAGCCCGCAAUGCAUGUGACAAAGCCUUCAGGUGCCUCCAGCAUCAGCCACCAUCAGAUUACAACCACAUGAGGGUCCCCAACAAGCAAAAUUGCCCAGCUGAACCCAUCAAGCCGCAGAACGAUCAAAUAUUAAUUACUGAAAGACUACUGAAGAAAAGAAUUGCCAUGGCAAUGAAAUGUCAAUUUGAAGUUUGAAUUUGCAAAAGUGACACUUGGCCUGAAAUAAGGAUAUCACCACCAGAUGGAUGAUGCCAUGGUUAUUACCUUGAGGUCUAAAUAGCAAUGAGAUAUGAAUGUUAUCAAAUAACAAUUCUAGUCUACUCAAUUAUGCCCUUAAAAAUAAAAUCAUUAUCAUCAUA